CCUACGGGAGGCAGCAGUGGGGAAUAUUGCGCAAUGGGCGAAAGCCUGACGCAGCGACGCCGCGUGAGGGAUGAAGGUCUUCGGAUCGUAAACCUCUGUCAGCAGGGAAGAACGGUCACUGUGCUAAUCAGCAGUGAAUUGACGGUACCUGCAAAGGAAGCACCGGCUAACUCCGUGCCAGCAGCCGCGGUAAUACGGGGGGUGCGAGCGUUAAUCGGAAUUAGUGGGAGUAAAGCGCUCGUAGGCGGUAUGUCAAGUCAAGGGUGAAAUCCCCGCGCUCAACGUGGGAACUGCCUUUGAAACUGGCAGACUUGAGUGUGUGAGAGGAUAGUGGAAUGCCAGGUGUAGGAGUGAAAUCCGUAGAUAUCUGGAGGAACAUCAGUGGCGAAGGCGACUAUCUGGCACAUAACUGACGCUGAGGAGCGAAAGCGUGGGUAGCAAACAGGAUUAGAUACCCUUGUAGUC
rnacentral:rRNA from 1 species